CCCAGGUGUGUCCAGGUGUGUUCCCAUCUAUCCCAGGUGUGCCCCAGGUGUCCCAGGUGUGUCCAGGUGUGUUCCCAUCUAUCCCAGGUGUGUUCCCAGCUAUCCCAGGUGCCCCCC